GUGUGUGUGUGUGUGUGUGGAAAAUGUCAGAAAGGCCAGAAUAAUUUAAUACCCCAAGCUAUGGACCUGGGCUAGCAUUUAUUUGUCUGGGUCUCUACCAAGUCUCCACAAAUGGGCCAGUACUUGAAGCUUCUCCAGCCUCCGUUACUGUCAGAGGAACAGGGGAUGCCAUGAGCAGUGGCCCCAGAGACUCUCAAUGCAAAGGACCGAGAGCCCCUCCCAGCCCUACAAAGAGCACACAGGAGAAGACGCUCCUAGAAAGUUCCUGUAGCUGCUGCUUCUCUGCAGGGCCCAGGUUCAAGUUUUCUCUGGCAACCUGGUCUGUCACAAUGCUGCAGGACCUCAGACGAGGUAGAAGAAGGCUCAAGAGGAUGGACGGGGUGAGGUACUGAGAAGAGGGCCGCCAUCUACCUUGGGCUUCCGAGAGGCAGCGGAGAGACUGUUCCAGAGUGGAAAAGUAGGCCACAACAAACAGCCUGCUUCUAUCUUCACACUCGCUGUACCACUAACUGGCCCAAGGACAACAAAGAGAGAGUUAUUUAUGUGGCUGUCCCCAAGUAACCAAGAUACGGGCAGUGCCACUGUAAAGCCAUAUGUGCUUCCUCCUUCCUUGGAGUAAAGCAAACCUUAAUUAGGCCAGGAACAUGUGAAGAGCUAUAAUUAAGCGCAGCAAGCAGCCUUCUUCUCUCCUUGGGAGACAGCUCAGCAGCCAAUGCAGGUUUUGUGCAUCUUUUCAUCUUAAGAGAACAUAGCUGUGCAUCACAGUGAGGUCCUGGGGACGCAGCUCAGGGAGCUGAUGACGUCAGUGGUGAGAACUGACUGCUAACCACAAAUGAAGGAGAACCUUCACCAUAGUACUUUCUGGAUCGCUACCAAAGCCUUCCAGAAACAAGGUCAUCAAAAACACUUGAGUCUGAUUGGAAAAGCUCUAUCCUCAUGGUCCGAUCACCCCGUCACAUCACCCCAAAGCCCUAAAACGACAGAAGGGCUGGCUGGUUUUGGUCAUAAGAGGUAGAUAAGUUAUGUGGACAUCAUGCCCUGAACAGAGACAAACCAAAGGCAAUGAAAACAGACUCCGAUGCGAUGCUUAAAGACAACGGCAUCCCAGAUGAGGAAUGUUCCAAAGAGCCAUUAAGACAUUUCACAGAUUUGCUGGCCUGUGUAUGUUUUUAUAUCUGGUAGAAGUGAGCACUUUAAGUGAGGAAACAGAGACAAAGAAAAGGCCUGGCUAAGCCCAAGCAUGUGUCACACAGCAGUUCUAGGCUCUGCUGCCUACCAUGCCUGUUUCUGAAUUGUUGGCAAGUCUUUUCAGGAAGGAUGCUGAGAAAAAGACCUUUACCUGUAGCGAUCUCCUUGUCUGACUUACAGCCAACCAUAAGCUAUUCCGAAGUGAAAAGCACCCACCUCCCCUACAGUGUAAGGCCACUUUGGAACGAGGAAGGCACCUCCCUUGCUUAAGUCAUAAGGACCGCUCCCGCACACUUGACAAAACUCUAGCACAGAGCAAACAGGCUAACCUGAAACAGGUAUGCCUGGAAUCCUAAGUACUGGCCCCUUCCCUCUUGUGCUGAAGGUUUUUUGUUUUGUUUUUACUGUUAAUACUUCCUCCACAGAAAGGGACAGGGACAUUGAGAAGGGGACCAUUAAAUGAGGACACGACAGGUGCACGACAUUUAGUAGGUACCAUGUAAGUCUGAUAUUGUAGCUAAAACUCUGGCAUUUCUGCUCCCAAUACUUGAGAAUCUACAACUGGGGCAAAACCAGGAGCCCCUGCCAGGGUCCUUUGCAUGAGUUUAAACUCUACAGCCAACCUACUGCAGCCUUGCUUUGCGAAGCCUGGCUUUAACUAAGAACCUGUAAGAUGGGGUGGUGGGUGGAGCUGCAGACCUUUUAGUCCCUGUCCUUGGGAGGCAGAGGCAGGAGGAUAUCUGUUCCAGGUCAACCAGGAACAUAGAGGUAUUCUAUCUCAAAGUGAGCCAGGAACACGGAGGUAUCUUGAGGGAGAGAGGGAAAGAGGGGGAGAGGGAGAGGGAGUAGGUGGGGGGGGGAGCUUGUGGUCUUCCCACAUCCUUCAUUACUUCAGUAGGAAGUUAAGUUCUCAGAGGUCUGAGGAGUCUGCAGAAUGAGAUCCGAGGCUUCCUCUUUGGCCAAGGUAUUCUUUCCCUUCCUCCCUCUGGAGGUGGGUGAGGGGUAGGGAGGGGGUGCUUGGACUGUACUCCCCACUUCUCCUCUCCACUGUGUGUAAUCCCCAAGAGGAGCUCCAGCCACACCAGGGGCAAAUGCUAUCUCCUUCAGAUCGCCCAGGGGAGUUCUUCUAAGCAAGGAACUUCAGUUGUGAGGGAACAAAGUAUCACCUAUUCUGGGCAAUGACCCAGGAAUGUCCAACCUACAACUGUGCACCCCAAGAUAGCUAUGAAACCCCAACAUAAAACCACAAACUUAAAAACGUUCAAACGUUCUCUCACUGCAGGGGUGGGGUGGGGGGUGUGGGGGUGGGGUAAUGAUGUCAAUAUUGUGAACUUUGUAGGUGACAAUGUCUUGUUACGAUGUCAAGAGGCUAGACACACCUAGCAGAGCUUGCCUACAAAUACUGGUCUCUCCAGUUGAGUCAACUUCUCUGCACCCUCCUUAAGCAGGAAGGCAAAGAGCAAAAACCCUUUCCAAAGUGUUCUAAAAACAAAAUACUUUCUCCAAAGCCCAUUUUCCCACAAGAACAUUAUCUAUUUUGGAAAGCCUGAACCAAAAGAAAAAGGAGACAGUUUGGAAUAUAAUCCUUCCAGAGGAGCUAACUGCUCUGGGGCUUGAGCAAGGCAGAGCCCAGAGGUACCGUGGGAGGCGCUUACCUACCCCUAAUUACAGAGGACAGGAGGCUCCGGCUCAGGGAGCAGCCUUUCAAAGGCCACAUCACCCAUCUUCCCAAUAAAACACCAUGAUUUUCAAAGCACAAUUCAAGAAAGCAGCAGUGUGAGCUCUUGGCAACCUGAACAAAGGCAGGAGCUGGCCAGGUGGAGCACACAUCCACACCACGCACACCCAACUCCACAGCACUCAGCGCCAACCAGGAAGGCCGAGCUUGUUUUGCCCUACCCCAUUCUUGUUCUUUAGAAGUCUGUGCUCAAGUUUUUCUAUAACCUCUCAGACGCUUGGGGGAAGACAGGCACAUCAACAUAACCCCAGAAAUGCUAAUAUGGGAUCCUUAUCUGGGACACUCAACAAACACUUCUGUUUUAAAGUAAAAAAAAAAAAAUUAGCAUAGGCUAAAUCAUUAUUUCAAAAGCAGGACCUCAGAGGGGCAGUCGCAGGGCUUUUUUUUUUUUUUUUAAGUUUUGUUCUGAGACAGGGUCUCAUUGUCUCAGGCUGACCCCACACUUGCUAGCUAGCCAAGGACAACUGCUAGGCCACGCAUACUUCUUCAUGCUCAGCUCUGAGUAUAAUCAGUUCCUUAAGAAGCCAAUUCAGGAGAUGAGGAGAUGGCUUUGCUGGUAAAGAGAGCUGCAUAAGCUCCAGGACCUGAGUUAGGAUCCCUGGAGCCCAUGAGCAAGCCAGGCAUAGCCGCAUGCGUAUGUAAACCCAGCACAGCAAGAGAGAAAUGGAUAAGUUCGGAUUUAUGCCAAACCAGGGCCUCGGAGGUCAGAGGCAGAACGGGAAAGGAGCAGACACAUCAAAACAGCUCCAGGUCGGAGCGGAGCAGCCGCCUGAGAGGGACACCGUGCGUAGCACAGUAACGAAGGAUCAGAAGCAGCUGGGGACAGGGAACGCGGGGCCAGCUGGUGCAGAAAUGGAGAAUAAGGGCAAGUCACUCCAGAACUUGAAGGCCCGGGUCAGGGAUGGAUGCUGCCACCCAGAAGGACCUCUCUGUGAACAAACCCUAAAGUAUGCCUCAUCAAUGCCCCAGAACCCAGGGCCUCGGUGCUUCCUAAUUCAAUCAAGCAAACUGAUGAUCAGAAUUCAUCAUCGCGGGCUCCUCACCAAGACAGACAGAUAUUUGGACAGACAGCGUCAGUAGUCAGGUGACACGCUCUCUGAGGGUGUAGCUUCCUGAGCUUCUGUCAGAGCAGCCGGAGUCACUAAGGGCUAACACCUAACUAAGUCACAGUACCUACAUCAACAAGGGAAGCCUCACACACCCGAUACUGUCAAACUAAUGCAUCUCACAUCUCAAAUACACUGAAAACCCAGGAUUGCCUGGCCUUUGCCGGGAGAUAAACCUAAGGUCAAUGAGGUAUCUACACACACAGCCUCCUUUCCCUACCUAAGGCACCAACUAUAAAUAUACCUGUACUCCCGUUACAUUUUGGCCUUGUGUCAUUUUCAGAAUUGCUUCAGUUGUUUUUACCCCGCUCCCUUCCUGCCUCUGCGGCUCCCCUCCUUUCCUGGUCCCCCUCGUUUAAGAAGACUUCUGUGUUUCCUUUUUGUGGCCAUUACUUUUCCUUGUAUUGAUUCAGAACAUGUCAAGGCAUAUCUGUAGUUAAUAAACCAAAAUACCAAUGACUAUA